UGGGGAAUAUUGCACAAUGGGCGCAAGCCUGAUGCAGCCAUGCCGCGUGUAUGAAGAAGGCCUUCGGGUUGUAAAGUACUUUCAGCGAGGAGGAAGGCAUUAAGGUUAAUAACCUUGGUGAUUGACGUUACUCGCAGAAGAAGCACCGGG
rnacentral:rRNA from 1 species